GUUGUGGCUCAGUGGUAGAGCGCAUGUCUAGCAUGUAUGAGGCAUUGAGUUCAAUCCUCAGCACCA
rnacentral:tRNA from 1 species